rfam:Anabaena cylindrica PCC 7122, complete genome.
AUUGCAAUUUUCAUUAAUCCCUAUUAGGGAUUGAAAC